CUUCGCAUUAUUUUUGAUCACUCUGAAUUUUUUAACUUUUGGGGGGUGAGUCUAUUUCUAUCAGACAGAUACUGCUCUGUUGUACCAGCAGUUCUGAAUAAGUGAGCACUACGGAAGUGGUGGAGCUGUUUCUGACUUCUCUUUUUGUUAAGUACUGGAUGGAACUUUGUUUCACACCUUUCAAAAACACAAGCACAGUACAGGAAGGUGCAGGGCUAAGUUGAAGAUGAAGUUAUGGAGGUCCCACUGCUAACAGGCUCAUAGAACUCUAACAAGACGUUUUCCAGCAAAGAUUUUGAAGUGUCUUCUGAAAGUAUGCAGUAUUUCAAACUCAAGUACCAUAAACUGCAUCCUCCCUCUUCCAGAGGUAUUUCUCACAUGUAACUGUUGUUUUCUUCUACUUUUGGCUCAAUUUUCAAGAUUUUGUGGAGGCAGAAAACCCAAUUAGCUAAAAUUGGAAUUUUUUUUCCUUGGUAAAGACUUCAGGCUUGACCCCUAAAUCAGUAACAACCAUCAUCAUCCAGAAAAUCAGACUGUUUAGGCAGAAUCUGGUGCAGCUUCCUUUGAUUCUUGUUCUCAUGCUAGUGGAAUAUUCAACCAUUUAGCCAAAAAUCCUGCUGUUGAAGAGGGAUGGCUCAGGAAAGGGAACCUGCUGCAGCCCCUCCCUGCCCUGCUCAGCUCCUCCUGUGCUUGGGGGGGAGCAGGGACAGCAGUUAUUCCUCCCACAGGUAUCUCAAGAGCAGAACAGAAGACCAACAGCUACAGCUGUCACAGUCUCAUCUCUGUCAGAGGUUUCAAUGUCAUCUCAGUUUAAGGAAGACUCGUCACAAACCCAAGUCCUUGAAGGUCACUGUGAGCAAGUUCUUCUACUGCACUGCUGACUUGGGGACAGUGUGUGUGUGUAUGUGUACACCCUCAUGCGUGCAUGGGGUGAUCAGCACAGCUCCAGCCUGGCUCAUGGGACUGGCAGCAGCGAAGUGAGCAGCACCACAGCCUCUGCUCCAGCCCCUUCCCCGUGCUUCCCUGCUCACCAGCACCAGCCCCAGCUGAUGGAGGAGCCUCAGCGAGGUAUGUAACAGCAGAGCAUGGAGAGCAGGCAGAGCCCUGGCCCUAUGUGAGCAGCAUCCCCUAACUAAAGGCAUGUCACUGCUGCAGACUGCACGCAGCAAAAAAAGAAAAAGCAUCUAAAAAUGAUCUAGGAUUAUAAAUAGGCCAUCUAUUUCUCACAGAACUUGAGAACUGGAAGGAGAGGGGGGGAGAGCACUCUCUGAAAACCGCGUUUCCUCAUCACCUGAAGUCUCAUAACCAAUGUGAAAUUCCAGUGUCCUAAGGCACAAUUACUUCUAUUAAUGAAGACGGAAACAUUCCCAUCCCCGCUGCCCCAGGAACAGAUGUGUUUACUACUAAGACAGAAUAAAAGCAGCAUUUGUUUCUUUUGAUGUGGACAAACAAUAGAGAAAAAAACCAGAGGAGAUGGGCACUGCUCACUGUCAGGCUGCACUGAUGCAGGCAUGCGUUUGAUGUAACGCUGCUGAAGCAUCUCUCUGAUGCAUAUGCAACUGCUGGCUCACGUUUUCAUGGUUAAGAGCCAAAUUCACCAUAGAGGCUAAGAAGGAAGACAGACCAAAAAUUUGGGCUUUUGUGGAAGUAGGAAAACAGGCCGAAGCAGAUAACAGCCUCUUUUCCAGAUGAAGAUAAACCAUGGCCACGGUUUUCACGCACUCUAGAAAAGCAAGGAGUCAGAUGUCCGAAAACAGAAGAAUAGGAACUGCUUUAAUUCAGCCUUCCUUAGAAAGGAGCCCUCCCAUUGAAUCAUCGGGCAACAGACAGUUGCAAUGAGCCCAAAGCGAGCGAGCAGUGGCUGGGCAGAGGGGCUAUGGUGAAGGAACACCACAGAACACCUCUCUUGGUUGUAGCCCUCAUCUGUAAUUUGUCCUCUUCUUUUUUCCUGUAACGCUCAGAGACCUUAAACUCAAUAUAAUCUGUUUAUAAAACCUUAAAGGGGAUAUUUUAGAAGGAACUAAAAGCAUGUUUGUUUUGUCCACAGAUGAAACACUGGUGUAGUUGAAGACUGAAUCUGUAGUGGAGUGUUAGUCAAUUGUAAACUGUAGGAGAUGUGUGCAUUUUACACAAACUCAAUACAGAGGAGAAGGACGAGUCUGCAUCACUCCAACUCUGAUAACGUGCACGGCCUUCGGAAUUCCUGUCCCCGCUCGUGGAGCCAUUUAUUGGACACUGCAAUGACAUGAAGGCCAAACGCUUGCUCCUACUUCAGGAAAGACGGUAGCUCCCCCUGCUGACACGUCGCUCAUCUGAAAGGUGGGAAAAGGCACAGGUAAGCUGCGAGCCACUGCAUUCCUCAGAUGUCACAUUUUAGUAAAACAAAUUAUUCAGCAACUUGUUUUCUGCCUCCCACUUACUGAGCAAAGGCUGCAUGAUUAAAAACAUUAAACAGGGCUAAAACCCACCCGUUUGGUUCGAAGUGCAAUAGCCCUGAGUGAUAAGUGCUGAAAUGUCAUGGCAAUGAGCGUGCUGUAAAUUCUGAUGCAGAUGUAAAAAUGAAUAGGCAGUCAAGUAUCUUAAGUUGCUACUGAACUCUGAGGGAAAAGAACCUCCUUAAGCACAGGUAAGAGCCAUAACUUACAGGUAAGUUACCCGUAUUUGUUACUAUAAUGUGAUGGCUGCCUUCAUCUGCAAAUCACUUCAGUUUAAACAAAAGUAAUGAAAUAAUUCAGCUGCACAGGAUGUCCAGUGACAAGACACUAUUGGCAAUAGCACAUGGCAGAAACGUAUCACUUACAUAAAACAACCAAGUAGCAAUUCUGUUGCCUGUUCCCAAUUCUUUAAAAGCAUCUGGCUCGUCUUUCUGUGAAUAAAAGCAAGCAGGUUUAAUAAGCAUUUCAUUUUGAUUAUUAAGAGGAACCAGUGACAGACAGCUGCAGAGCCAGCAGUGGACAAACUCAUGCAGAAAAAUUAAUUCAUUCGCUCUAGUCAGG
rnacentral:lncRNA from 1 species